CGUCAAGAAAAAAAACAAGGGAUUUUUUUCUCCCACCAUCUCUCCUCUCUCGGGCUCUCUCUCCUCGCCGACCUUGUGUCUUCUAGCCGUACUCUCUCUUCCGCCUCUCCUCUCUGCCGCCAUGACAUCUCUCCUUGUCGCCAGCUCUCCUCUCUCUCACACACAGCCGGAUCUACUUUAUCUCACACCCCACACCACCAUGGUUGGAGGACGCAAGGCACGAUGAGGCCGGAGCCACACUUCCAUGGGAGAUGAAGGAUUGAGAAGAAGCUUGAUGGUUAAGGAGACAGGGCCGGUGGUGGUGCGGCUGUGGUUGUGGUUCGGCUCUAGUGGUGGUGCGGCGGAGGAGGCAAGGAGUCGGCUGAUUUAUUUUCUAGGGUUAAUUUUUUUUUUAGAAUUAGGUUUGGUUAAGUUUAGUUAGGUUAGCUUAAUUAGGUUUAGUUAAACCGGUUUAUUUAACUAAACCAGCUUAUUAUAAUUUUUUAGCUUAUUAUAAUUUUUAGGCUUUUAAUAUAUUCAUGUAUUUAAAUAUGUAUCUGUAUGUAUAUAUAUUUCGUUAUAUAUAUUUAUUUACAUUUUUUUAUUUUGUAUUUUUGUUAAUUUUUUUUAAUAUUUUUAAAAGAAUUUGCGAGGGAAACUUUUUAUU